UUUCUUCCCUUUUUUUUAGAAAUAUGUUCUCUUGAUUAUUUCGAACAUGGUUAUUUUCUGAAUAAUUAUUGGACAACCUAUAAAGAAGGUGUUGAAAUUUCAUAUGCAUGUUUGUAUGAUUAUGUACCUGAAAAUCCAGAAGCCAAAGCUGUAUGUACAAAGAAUAACUGGAUGCCUCCUCCAAGAUGUAUCUAUAAAAAAUCAUGUGAAAAAGCUCAGAUGAGCAAUGGUUAUUACACCCAAGUUAAGGACAAAUUUGAAUUAAAUGAA